rnacentral:lncRNA from 1 species
GCAGGAAUGAAAUUUCCUUGGAAGCACUGGGGGCUCGACUCGUCACGGUAUGUGAGGUCCUGACUUCUCUGCAUCUUGAAUUAUUUAGUUUACAGACUUCACCUAGCAAACUUCUAAAUAUGUGAAGUGUGUGGCUAAUGGAGUCUCAAGACCACUGAGAAUUGCUUGUCCCUUGUGAGUACCCAAUGACAUCGAUCUCCGUGUCUCUUCCCUCCCUUACCUUACCUUCCUGUUUAUGCAUUGCCAAAUUACCACACUUGUAUACAAGGAGCUAUAAAUAUUUAGAAUCUGGUUGUCUACCAGUCCUUUGUUAACUUUUAAGAUAUAGAAAUGGUGAAACAACAAAUGCCUAGAAAUUCUAAUAUAUCAACCUCAAGAAUGGGUCAGGGUGUGGGUGUGGUGGCACACGUGUUGUGUUUUACAAGUUGUUUUACUCUUAGAUGAGAACUAUUGGCGUCACAAAAAGUAUGAUUAACUUUUUCUGCAUUGCAUUUCCUUUUAUUUAAGGAUAUAUAUGGAUGUGUGUGUGUUUAUCUUUGUAUGUUUACUUUUCCUCUUAAUAUUACAAAGUGCAUUGAUGGAAUGCUUUGGGCUGCAAGUUAUAAAACACCCGGUUACAACUGAUUUAAACAAGCAUGCAUCAAUAAGUCAGAAAGCAGGUAACUUUAGGGAGAAUGAAUUCUAUGGCUUAAUACCUAGCCUUCCUCGGGACCUCUUGACUCUCUCUAAUGGUUGCAAUAUAUCUGUAGCAGCCCCUCACAUUACUUUUUACAUGGCUACAUUUGAGGCAAAAGGAAAAGCUGAUUUUGAUGAACAUUUUGUGCACUAUUUCCCAAGAACCUACAACCACUUCCUACCCAUGUUCAUAUGCCAAGUUCUGAGAUGCCCACUUCUGAGCCAAUCACCAGCAAAGGAAAGUUCAAGAGCAUCAUGACAGACUUGAGAUCAUCCAGGUUCCCUCCAUUAGCAUCUUUCACAUCCACAUUUCCUAAUAGAUUGCUGUCUAAUGGAUCAGGGCUCAGGUAGGAAAGGGUGGUGGGGCUGAACACCAAGGAGGUAUCAACAGGAGCCAUGUAUCCAACAGGAUAUUCGUCUUAUUCCUUAAAUUCAUGUAUUUGAA